AUGUUGUCCCGGGGGCACUUUCUUCUGCUUCCACAGAAGCCCUCUCCCUGAAGAAGGCAGCCCUCCCCAGUCCAGGGGUAUUGCAGGCAACAAGGAGCUUUCACACAGGGCAGCCAUGUCUUGCUCCUCUACCACCUCUUCCUGAAUAUGGAGGAGAAGUUCAUCUUGGGCUGAUCCCUGAGGAAUUCUUCCAUUUUCUUUAUACUAAAACUGGUAUAACAGGACCUUAUGUGUUUGGAACUGGACUUACGUUGUAUGCUCUUUCCAAAGAAAUAUAUGUAAUUACCCCAGAGAUCUUCUCUACCAUACCAGUAGUAGAGUUACUUAUCUUUGUAAUUAAAAAAUAUGGUGCCUCUGUUGGAGAAUUUGCUGAUAAACUGAAUGAGCAAAAAAAGAAAUUGCCCAACUAGAAGAGGUGAAGUACGCUUCCAUCAAACAAAUCCAGGAUACCAUUGAUUUGGAGAAGUCACAGCAGGCUGUGGGUCACAAGUGCCAUUACCUUUUUGAUGCCAAGAGGAAUAACAUUGCUAUGACUUUGGAGAAUACUCUUCAGGAAUGGCUGCAUCGAGUAUAUAAGGAGGUAAAGAAUCACCUGUACUAUCAUAUCUCUGUGCAGGUUAUGAUGUGUUGAAAGGAACAAGAGCACAUGAUAAACUGGGUGGAAAAGCAUGUGGUAGCGAAGCAAAUGGUGCAGAGCACAGCUAGAAAAGAAAAUUGCCAAGUGCAUUGCUGAUCAAAAGUUGUUG
rnacentral:lncRNA from 1 species